rnacentral:tRNA from 1 species
GCGCCUGUAGCUCAGUGGUAGAGCAGUGAUCUUAUAAGUCACGGGCCGUAGGUUCGAUCCCUACCAGGCGCA